UGGCCUAAUGGAUAAGGCGUCUGACUUCGAAUCAGAAGAUUGAGGGUUCGGGUCCCUU
rfam:Salmo salar isolate Sally breed double haploid chromosome ssa01, whole genome shotgun sequence.